rnacentral:rRNA from 1 species
GACGAACGCUGGCGGCGUGCUUAACACAUGCAAGUCGAGCGGUAAGGCCCUUUCGGGGUACACGAGCGGCGAACGGGUGAGUAACACGUGGGUGACCUGCCCUCAGCUCUGGGAUAAGCCUGGGAAACCGGGUCUAAUACUGGAUAUGACUCCAUGACGCAUGUUGUGGGGUGGAAAGCCUUGUGCGGCUGAGGAUGGGCCCGCGGCCUAUCAGCUUGUUGGGUGGGGUGAGGGCCUACCAAGGCGACGACGGGUAGCCGGCCUGAGAGGGCGACCGGCCACACUGGGACUGAGACACGGCCCAGACUCCUACGGGAGGCAGCAGUGGGGAAUCUUGCGCAAUGGGCGAAAGCCUGACGCAGCGACGCCGCGUGAGGGAUGACGGCC